GACGAACGCUGGCGGCGUGCCUAAUACAUGCAAGUCGAACGCAGUGGGGACGGGUGAGUAACACGUGGGUAACCUCCCAUCAGAGGGGAUAACACUUGGAAAAAGGUGCUAAACCGCUACUGAUGGAUGGACCCGCGUUGCAUUAGCUAGUUGGUGAGGUAACGGCUCACCAAGGCCACGAUGCAUAGACUGACUGAGAGUGUUAUCGGCCACACUGGGACUGAGACACGGCCCAGACUCCGACGGGAGGCAGCAGUAGUGAAUCUUUGGCAAUGGACGAAAGUCUGACCGAGCAACGCCGCGUGAGUGAAGAAGGUUUUCGGAUCGUAAAACUCUGUUGUUAGAGAAGCGGUAUCUAACCAGAAAGCCACGGCUAACUACGUGCCAGCCGCCGCGGUAAUUC
rnacentral:rRNA from 1 species